AUAGGUUGGAAUUCCCUCAAGCUGUAUAUGACCGACUUCAAAAUUGUUUGACAUAUUAAACUUGUGACAACAUAAGUGAUUCGCAUUUUAAUUUCUCCUUGUGUCGUCCUUGUUGUUUAUGAGAUCUCACUUCUUGUUUGUUGUGAAUUUGCAGAUAUCCAGUGAUGAAGCUAUUGAAACUACAAAACAAGUGGCACUCUAGGAAGGAUUGUUGGCUAAUUGGCAUAUUUUCCGGUGUGGCUGUAGCUGUUGCAAUGAAGGUCGGAAAGAGACCUGAAAAUGCUGGGAAGCGCAUUGCAGUUGUGUUUCCUGGCCUUGGAGAAUGAUUUCUCUUAACCGUUCUUUUCCAGUUGAUCUGAGAAGAAUGCGAGAAAAUGCAGCCUGAAGCAUCAAAUUUCUCUAUUCGAGUUCAUAGAAUUUCUCCAUCUUGUUAUAUGUACCAUUUCAAGGAUUUUUUUUUUUUAAAUCAAAACUCCAUUCAUGACUGGCUUUUCCUUGUCUAAUAAGGAAUUAAGGAAAUAUCCUGUAACUGAAAUCCUGUUAUAUGGAGUCUGUGAUUGCAUUAUUCAUAAGGAAUAAAUCAUAG